GGGGAGAGGCAGAGACGGGAGGUGGGGGAGUGGAGUGGAGAGGAGUAGAGCCGAAUCCGCGGCGGAAGUGCACGGCGCUCCGCGCCACCGCCGGCCGAGCCCGCGCUGAAAUCCGCGAGCGGCGAGCGGCGCACAGCAUAUGUUAGUGUGGACUGGAAUCUCGAUGUCAAUGAAAGGUCAAUGGCCAGUCUGAGUGACAAAUCCUGGAAAAGAUGUCACCUUUCUUCCUGUAACCUAUUGAAAAGCAGAAAGAUCAAAGACUUACCAUCUUGAGGAUUUGUCUGACUGAAGCUUAGCCGUAGGCUCACCAAGAGCAUGAACAGAAGUAGCAGCCACUGCAUCUCCACCAUCGUACCACACGGUGUCACCCUCCACGCAAAUCAAAUUCACACCGGAGGAUAGCAAAAUCUGCUGAUUGUUCUUGUCGAAGAGCACUGUGCAGUGAACAAGCUCGAGUAGAUGCCAAAUGGCGUCUCCCUCCUUGAGGCUGGCAACCAGGCAAAGAAAAUAGCUAAUCAAACAAGACAACCUUAUAUAACUUGAUUCAAGGGAAUUCUUAUCAAACAUUGCCUAUGAGAAUGCUUACCAGGUCCAAGCAACAUGCACAUAGAAAAUGCAUGUAUGCGUUGUAGUGGGAGGCUUAAUUAAAAGAAACCUCUGAAGAGCUCAGUUGCUGAUCAAAAUGUGAAAUGAUUUAAUAAACCGUUUACUUGCAGUUACUUCUUGCCUGUUUUAUCUAUGGAGCCUUAUCUGGGAACACCUUCUGGGUUUUGAUCC
rnacentral:sRNA from 1 species